rnacentral:rRNA from 1 species
UACGUAGGGUGCGAGCGUUAAUCGGAAUUACUGGGCGUAAAGCGUGCGCAGGCGGUUUUGUAAGCCAGAUGUGAAAUCCCCCGGGCUUAACCUGGGAAUGGCAUUUGGGGACUGCAAGGCUUGAGUGCGGCAGAGGAGACUGGAAUUCCUGGUGUAGCAGUGAAAUGCGUAGAUAUCGGGAGGAACACCUGUGGCGAAAGCGGCUCACUGGACCAUAACUGACGCUGAUGCACGAAAGCUAGGGGAGCAAACAGG